AUGGGGAAGAAGAGGAGGCAGGAUCCAGGGAGGGACGACUCGAGCUCCUCCCAUGCCAAGCGGUCUUGCCACUGCCAGAACGGGGAGAAGAGCAGGCCAAAUGAUGGGAUGCCGCCUCGGGAGGGGCUUGCAGAUAUCAUUCGCGCGGUUAUCGAAUUGAAAGACGUCAUGCAUGUUAAAUUGAGCACAGAGGAAAGAUUCAAGAGAAAAUUUAAAAUGCUGAAGGAAAAGAGGAAAAAAGACAAGAACAAUCACGAGGAAGAUCUCAGAGUACUCAAGGAAGACCUCACAAAACUCAAGAAAAAUCAAGAAGAGCUUGAAAUACAAAUCCAGGAGAUGCGGAAAGAAGAGUGUGCUGAAGUAAAUCAUUACAAGGCAUCUCCAUCUCAGAGAUCACAACUAAGCCAAUCAACAAGAUUUCGACUAGUCAUUGAAAAUAGCGUGAGCAGAACAAUUUACAAAAAGGGAACUAUAGAGACUGAGGAUGGUGGAGGUCACAUAAAAGUUGUCAUGUACGAUGGUGGCAAUCCAAUUGCGUCUAACCACCGUCUUGCUUCAGUAAGAGUUGAGAUAGUUGUCAUUGAAGGAGGGUUUGAUGAAAAGCGAGAUUUAUGGUCUAAAGAGGAGUUCGAGGAAAGCAUAAUGAAACCAAGAAGAACAACGACAUUGACAAGUCUAGUGAAAAACGGUACAUUUAAUCUGAUUGCUGGGAGUUGUGAUCAUGAAGGUGCCAUUAUUAUGGAUAAUUCACAGCAAAGGGAAGUUAAGCUUGGAGUAAGGAUCACAGUGCCUACAGAAACAAGAGUUCUUGAAGGAGUAUCAAAUCCUUUCAAAGUGCAGGAAGGCAAGACAAAAAAGCCAGCACCAAACAAAACGGGUAAAAACCCUUCUCCUCUAGUUCCAACGCGAAACUUGGUACAGCCAACUAGCACCCACGCAACACAAGAUGGUAAAGACCGUGGAAAACAUUCAGAAUUUCCAACUGAUGGUACUGCAGAGGAUAAUCAACUGAGUUAUCCACCAGCUACCGUGCGACUGAUGGUUGAGGGAAAUGGGCAAGCCCUAAACGGCAAUAGUCAACAAUCUUCUCAACAAAUUCCAACGCCAAUCUUGUGGCAGCCAACCCGCACCCACCCAUUGCAACACGACCAAGGGCGUAGCCCGCCACCACCUACCAAGCCGAAUCCAUUGCAGGUAGCAGGAUAUUAUCCACCUUUUCCUGCAUGUCGACAAGACCAGUGCACCAGUUUACCUAAUGCAAGUUCUCAGGUUGCAUUUCCAAACCUUUCAGGGUAUGGGUUGUUAGAUGGCCAGUGGAAUCCCAUCCCUGGAGGGGAGGUAUUUAUUGAAGAUCUAAAUCAUUCAAAUGUACAGCUACCAGUUGAAGAGUAUUAUGUAGAUGCAUCAUUUACAUGUAAUCAAGUACUACUUCAAUGGGAUACCACUCAUGUGGAGCACAAGGAGCACUGGAACUUUCUUGAUCAGUUCAUGCCGCUGUAUAGCACACAGUCAAGGUUCUACAGACAGAGUUUCCCCAGUACAAGUCUCAUGGAUAAAGCCCAUAAGUUACUGGCAAGUAUUUCAUCAGGCGAUUCUGUUUUGAAGAUGAUUACCAGUGUUACAAGUCAAGCCACACAAACUCCUCAGAGGAGAGGCGUUCUCGUUUGGCCCAUUGAGCCAUAUGAUUCAGUUCAUGGGCCACUAGUUAAGAAGAAAAGGAAUACCAAAUAUCAAUUGCGAUUUGUCAAUAAGGUGUGCGAUGACUACUACACACGGGAAAAUAUCAAAUCAGAGGAUGGAAAUCUUUUAAAGGUAGCUUUGUAUGAUGAGAACAAUCGGGUAGUCACAUCUGGCCCACUGUCUUCAGUUUCUGUGGAGGUCGUACUACUUCAUGGUGAUUUCAGUGCUGAAGGUCACGAAUAUUGGACAUCAGAGGAGUUCAGUGCCUGCUUAGUGCAUCCACAAUCUGUAAUGUCAAUUGCACCAGCCUUGGGAGGUCAUCGUGUCUUGGCCCUGACAUGUGGAGAGGCAGACCUUGAUAAUAUCAAUUUCCGGACUUCCUCCUUCCAUGCCAGAUCGGGAAAGUUUGUGAUGGGUAUUGAAAUUAGAAAUGUAAGAGAAGAGAGUGUUCAAGAAGGAAUAACUAACGCAUUUCUCGUGAGAGUUCGCCAAGGGGAAGUAACUGGAACUGGCGAGGAGAUGGCAGAGCCACCGUUCGGGUUGACAUUGCAGACCGCCACCACCUCUGACGCAACAAAGAGGAAGCCCUGGCCAGACAGGAUACUAGACCAGGACCCCGAGGUGGUUUCGCUGUCGCUGCAGACGCUGCUGUUGGACAUGUACGUGUGUGAGAUCUGCAGCAAGGGGUUCCAGAGCGACCAGCAACUGCAGCUGCACCGGCAGAGCCACAACUUGCCAUGGAAGCUGAAGGCCGGCAAGGCGGCGCGGAAGCGUGUGUUCGUGUGCCCGGAACCGAGCUGCCUGCACCACGACCCCUCUCACGCCCUCGGCGGCCUCGUUGCCAUCAAGAAGCACUUCCGCCGCGAGCACAGCGACACUGCCACUAUGCCUGAAACCGCUGCUCCAGGGCUUUCCCCGCCCACUCCUGCGCAAGGUUUUGAAUUUUGGUAG
rnacentral:rRNA from 1 species